rnacentral:rRNA from 1 species
CGUAAAGCGCACUAGGCGGCUUCUAAGUCUGGUGUGAAAUCUCACGGCUCAACCGAGAGGCUGCACCAGAUACUGCGAAGCUCGAGGACGGGAGAGGAGAUUGGAAUUCCCGGUGUAGCGGUGAAAUGCAUUGAUAUCGGGAGGAACACCAGUGGCGAAGGCGGAUCUCUGGCCCGUUGCUGACGCUGAGGUGCGAAAGCUGGGGGAGCGAAAGGGAUUAGAUACCCCUGUAGUCCCAGCCCUAAACGAUGGGCGCUAGGUGUUGGGGGAUUAACCCUCAGCGCCGAAGCUAACGCAUUAAGCGCCCCGCCUGGGGAGUACGGCCGCAAGGUUGAAACUCAAAGGAAUUGACGGGGGCCCGCACAAGCGGUGGAGCAUGUGGAUUAAUUCGAUACUAACCGAAGAACCUUACCCAGGCUUGACAUGCACACGCAAGCCCUGGAAACAGGGCCCUCGGGUAACCGACGUGUGCACAGCUGUUGCAUGGCUGUCGUCAGCUCGUGCCGUGAGGUGUUGGGUUAAGUCCCGCAACGAGCGCAACCCGCGCCCCAUGUUGCCAACGGGUCAGCCGGGCACUCUUGGGGGACUGCCCGGGUAACCGGGAGGAAGGAGCGGAUGACGUCAAGUCGGCAUGGCGCUUACGCCUGGGGCCUCACACAUGCUACAAUGGGCGCAACAAAGGGUUCCGAUGCCGCGAGGCGGAGGCAAUCCCAAAAAUACGCCCUCAGUUCAGAUCGCAGGCUGCAACUCGCCUGCGUGAAGCCGGAAUCGCUAGUAACCG